AUGUCCGCCCGGUUACAAGAAGGCGACGAGCAAAGGGGAACAAGGAUGCCAAAGCGUGGCCGUGAGCGACUUUACCUUGUCUUUGAUGACUGGUGCCAUGGAUAUAGCAUCCGCAUGGUAAACUUGUUGCAGCAUACUGCUGGCUCGGGCCAUCCAGCCCCGAUGCAUUUUACCCAGCCUUUCUGCCGCAUAAUGGCGCCUCUCGAGUCGUGCUUCACGUCAGCCUUUGGCUCUAAGAUUUUGGCGGUGUUUACCAGAGAUCCCGAAGCUGACUCUGAGAGCUACUUCCCAAUGUUGGACGUUCGCUCGCGGUGCGUCACCUUUGCCCCUGGGCAGUUAUGUCCUAUUCCUCCCAUCUACUACCUACCUGUCGGCAACGAGUUAUUCUGUCUGAGCUUCUGCUCCUUCGAGAUGCUCUGCUCGGAGGUGCUCUCCCCCCGGUUGGAGGAUCAGUCUUGCAGCAUGGGUUGGUCAUGGAAACAGCUCUCUGAGAAGCCGCCAUUCUACGUUGAUCACGUCACCUCCUACUCCUUGCAUCCUGAAGAACGGACCUUCCUCUUCAGCACCAAGACUGGCGCCACUGAGGCCACCUACACCUUUGACACCGAGAAACGUUCAUGGAAACUCCUUGGCAAUUGGAAGCUGCCCUUUGCUGGCUGCGGUCACUUUGACCCGGGCCUCAACUGCUUUGUCGGGCUCUCCAAAGAACCGGACACCCUUGGCCAACUUUACAGCUGCGAAGUGCCCAUCUAUGACACUGAUUAUGGUCUGUGCCCUCCCCCUGUAGUGAAGCUCUGCAAGGAGAAUCUGUUAAGUGAGCGCCCAAGUGAUAUGCAUGUUGGUGCUACCCUUGUCUACAUGGGAGGCAAGAGCGAAUUCUGCCUCGUACAGUGUGUCAUCCCUGAUCAGGACCGAAUGGAUGAGGACGACGUUGCUCAUGGUGUGCAGCUACCCGGUCGUCGCUUCUAUCGUCUCACCACAUUCUCUCUCAGCUUCAACAAGGAUAAAGAACUGACAACUGGCAAUACCCAUCGGCUGCAGUACUACAAAGUGCCUAAAAAAGCCACUAAGCCGUUCCUUCAAGACCCGGUGGCAUUUUGGAUGUAA
rnacentral:rRNA from 1 species